rnacentral:rRNA from 1 species
CGUACGAGAAAGCCUCUUCGGAGGUUAGUAAAGUGGCGCACGGGUGAGUAACGCGUGGGUAAUCUGCCCUUUGGUUUGGGAUAACCCCGGGAAACCGGAGCUAAUACCGAAUAAGACCACGAUGACUUCGGUCGACGUGAGAAAAGGUGGCCUCUUCUUGAAAGCUAUCACCAAUGGAUGAGUCCGCGUUUGAUUAGCUUGUUGGUGAGGUAAAAGCUCACCAAGGCUACGAUCAAUAGCUGGUCUGAGAGGAUGAUCAGCCACACUGGAACUGAGACACGGUCCAGACUCCUACGGGAGGCAGCAGUCGGGAAUAUUGGGCAAUGGGCGAAAGCCUGACCCAGCAACGCCGCGUGAAGGAUGAAGGCCCUAGGGUCGUAAACUUCUGUCGAGAGGGAAGAAUGCUUGUGGGCGAAUAAUCCGCAAGUUUGACGGUACCUCCAAAGGAAGCACCGGCUAACUCCGUGCCAGCAGCCGCGGUAAUACGGAGGGUGCAAGCGUUGUUCGGAUUUAUUGGGCGUAAAGCGAGUGUAGGCGGCUUAGCAAGUCGGAGGUGAAAUCCCAGGGCCCAACCCUGGAACUGCACCCGAUACUGCUAGGCUAGAAUUCCGGAGAG